rnacentral:rRNA from 1 species
AUUGAACGCUGGCGGCAGGCCUAACACAUGCAAGUCGAGCGGAUGAGUGGAGCUUGCUCCAUGAUUCAGCGGCGGACGGGUGAGUAAUGCCUAGGAAUCUGCCUGGUAGUGGGGGACCACGUUUCGAAAGGAACGCUAAUACCGCAUACGUCCUACGGGAGAAAGUGGGGGAGCUUCGGACCUCACGCUAUCAGAUGAGCCUAGGUCGGAUUAGCUAGUUGGUGAGGUAAAGGCUCACCAAGGCGACGAUCCGUGACUGGUCUGAGAGGAUGAACAGUCACACUGGAACUGAGACACGGUCCAGACUCCUACGGGAGGCAGCAGUGGGGAAUAUUGGACAAUGGGCGAAAGCCUGAUCCAGCCAUGCCGCGUGUGUGAAGAAGGUCUUCGGAUUGUAAAGCACUUUAAGUUGGGAGGAAGGGCAGUAAGUUAAUACCUUGCUGUUUUGACGUUACCAACAGAAUAAGCACCGGCUAACUUCGUGCCAGCCGCCGCCGUAACAC